rnacentral:rRNA from 1 species
AUUGAACGCUGGCGGCAGGCCUAACACAUGCAAGUCGAGCGGAUGAAGGGAGCUUGCUCCUGGAUUCAGCGGCGGACGGGUGAGUAAUGCCUAGGAAUCUGCCUGGUAGUGGGGGAUAACGUCCGGAAACGGGCGCUAAUACCGCAUACGUCCUGAGGGAGAAAGUGGGGGAUCUUCGGACCUCACGCUAUCAGAUGAGCCUAGGCCGGAUUAGCUAGUUGGUGGGGUAAAGGCCUACCAAGGCGACGAUCCGUAACUGGUCUGAGAGGAUGACCAGUCACACUGGAACUGAGACACGGUCCAGACUCCUACGGGAGGCAGCAGUGGGGAAUAUUGGACAGUGGGCGAAAGCCUGAUCCAGCCAUGCCGCGUGUGUGAAGAAGGUCUUCGGAUUGUAAAGCACUUUAAGUUGGGAGGAAGGGCAGUAAGUUAAUACCUUGCUGUUUUGACGUUACCAACAGAAUAAGCACCGGCUAACUUCGUG